AACAACUGAUAAUUCGAAAGGUAGAAUGAUGGGGUAACGCCCUGAAAUGCCUUCUCUGAUACUUCGACCGGCUCUGACUGUAAUGGUUGGGGUCUGGAGCUCGAUAAAGUCGGCGGAAGUCUGCCGAAACAGUGUAGAAAUACAGCUGUCGAAAGUGCGGUAGAGGUACCGUAUGCAGAUGACACGUCGGGAGUCUAUAAA
rnacentral:ncRNA from 2 species